UACGGAGGGUGCGAGCGUUGUUCGGAAUCACUGGGCGUAAAGGGCGUGUAGGCGGUCCGCUAAGUCUGAUGUGAAAGCCCGGGGCUCACCCCCAGAAGGGCAUUGGAAACUGACGGACUCGAGUCCCGAAGAGGAGGGUGGAAUUCCUGGUGUAGCGGUGAAAUGCGUAGAUAUCAGGAGGAACACCGGUGGCGAAGGCGGCCCUCUGGACGGUGACUGACGCUGAGACGCGAAAGCGUGGGGAGCAAACAGG
rnacentral:rRNA from 1 species